GACGAACGCUGGCGGCGUGCUUAACACAUGCAAGUCGAACGGAAAGGCCCUGCGUUUGUGGGGUGCUCGAGUGGCGAACGGGUGAGUAACACGUGAGUAACCUGCCCUUGACUUUGGGAUAACUUCAGGAAACUGGGGCUAAUACCGGAUAGGAGCUCCUGCUGCAUGGUGGUGGUUGGAAAGUUUCGGCGGUUGUGGAUGGACUCGCGGGUUAUCAGCUUGUUGGUGGGGUAGUGGUUUACCAAGGCUUUGACGGGUAGCCGGCCUGAGAGGGUGACCGGCCACAUUGGGACUGAGAUACGGCCCAGACUCCUACGGGCGGCAGCAGUGGGGAAUAUUGCACAAUGGGCGGAAGCCUGAUGCAGCAACGCCGCGUGCGGGAUGACGGCCUUCGGGUUGUAAACCGCUUUCGCCUGUGACGAAGCGUGAGUGACGGUAAUGGGUAAAGAAGCACCGGCUAACUACGUG
rnacentral:rRNA from 1 species